rnacentral:rRNA from 1 species
AACGAACGCUGGCGGCAUGCCUAACACAUGCAAGUCGAACGAGACCUUCGGGUCUAGUGGCGCACGGGUGCGUAACGCGUGGUAACCUGCCCUUAGGUUCGGAAUAACUCCCCGAAAGGGGUGCUAAUACCGGAUAAUGUCUUCGGACCAAAGAUUUAUCGCCUUUGGAUGGGCCCGCGUUGGAUUAGCUAGUUGGUAGGGUAAAAGCCUACCAAGGCGACGAUGCAUAGCUGGUCUGAGAGGAUGAUCAGCCAGACUGGGACUGCGACCCGGCCCAGACCCCUACGGGAGGCAGCAGUGGGGAAUAUUGGACACUGGGCGCAAGCCUGAUCCAGCCAUGCCGCGUGAGUGAUGAAGGCCUUAGGGUUGUAAAGCUCUUUUACCCGGGAUGAUAAUGACAGUACCGGGAGAAUAAGCACCGGCUAACUCCGUG